GCCUAUGGCCAUGCUGCCACGAACACACCCGAUCUCAUCUGAUCUCAGAAGCUAAGCAGGGUCAGGCCUGGUUAGUACUUGGAUGGGAGACCACCUUGGAAUACCAGGUGAUGUAGGCG
rnacentral:rRNA from 1 species